CGUAGGUAACCUGCCUGGUAGCGGGGGAUAACUAUUGGAAACGAUAGCUAAUACCGCAUAACAGUCGACAUUGCAUGAUGUUGAUUUGAAAGGGGCAAUUGCUCCACUACCAGAUGGACCUGCGUUGUAUUAGCUAGUUGGUGAGGUAACGGCUCACCAAGGCGACGAUACAUAGCCGACCUGAGAGGGUGAUCGGCCACACUGGGACUGAGACGCGGCCCAG
rnacentral:rRNA from 1 species